UACGGGGGGGGCAAGCGUUGUUCGGAAUUACUGGGCGUAAAGGGUUCGUAGGUGGCUUGUUAAGUCAGACGUGAAAUCCCUCGGCUCAACCGGGGAACUGCGUCUGAGACUGAUGAGCUCGAGUGCAGGAGAGGAACGCGGAAUUCCAGGUGUAGCGGUGAAAUGCGUAGAUAUCUGGAGGAACACCAGUAGCGAAGGCGGCACUCUGGGCCGGUACUGACGCUGAGGAGCGAAAGCGUGGGGAGCGAACAGG
rnacentral:rRNA from 1 species